rnacentral:rRNA from 1 species
GGGUGCAAGCGUUAUCCGGAUUCACUGGGUUUAAAGGGUGCGUAGGCGGAUAUGUAAGUCCGUGGUGAAAUCUCCUAGCUUAACUUGGAAACUGCCAUGGAUACUAUAUGUCUUGAAUGUUGUGGAGGUUAGCGGAAUAUGUCAUGUAGCGGUGAAAUGCAUAGAUAUGACAUAGAACACCAAUUGCGAAGGCAGCUGGCUACGCAAUAAUUGACGCUGAGGCACGAAAGCGUGGGGAUCAAACAGGAUUAGAUACCCUGGUAGUCCACGCCCUAAACGAUGAUUACUCGACAUACGCGAUACACAGUGUGUGUCUGAGCGAAAGCAUUAAGUAAUCCACCUGGGAAGUACGACCGCAAGGUUGAAACUCAAAGGAAUUGACGGGGGUCUGCACAAGCGGUGGAGCAUGUGGUUUAAUUCGAUGAUACGCGAGGAACCUUACCUGGGCUAGAAUGCAGUCUGACUGUGGGUGAAAGCUCAUUUUGUAGCAAUACACAUUUUGUAAGGUGCUGCAUGGCUGUC